rnacentral:rRNA from 1 species
ACGCUCGACACCUACGGGAGCAGCAGUGGGGAAUAUUGCACAAUGGGGGGAACCCUGAUGCAGCGACGCCGCGUGAGGGAAGAAGGUUUUCGGAUUGUAAACCUCUGUCCUUGGUGACGAUAAUGACGGUAGCCAAGGAGGAAGCCACGGCUAACUACGUGCCAGCAGCCGCGGUAAUCUGAGCGGGCUGGCAAGGC